AACGAACGCUGGCGGCAUGCCUAACACAUGCAAGUCGAAUGAAGCCUUCGGGCUUAGUGGCGCACGGGUGCGUAACGCGCGGGAAUCUGCCCUUUGGUUCGGAAUAACAGUUGGAAACGACUGCUAAUACCGGAUGAUGACGAAAGUCCAAAGAUUUAUCGCCAGAGGAUGAGCCCGCGUAGGAUUAGCUAGUUGGUGUGGUAAAGGCGCACCAAGGCGACGAUCCUUAGCUGGUCUGAGAGGAUGAUCAGCCACACUGGGACGGAGACACGGCCCAGACUCCUACGGGAGGCAGCAGUGGGGAAUAUUGGACAAUGGGCGAAAGCCUGAUCCAGCAAUGCCGCGUGAGUGAUGAAGGCCCUAGGGUUGUAAAGCUCUUUUACCCGGGAUGAUAAUGACAGUACCGGGAGAAUAAGCCCCGGCUAACUCCGUGCCAGCCGCCGCGGUAA
rnacentral:rRNA from 1 species